UCCCGGUUUCCCGGGCAGUCCCGUCAGAGUGCCCAAAUAAAUGGUAGCAACUGACAGCGAGAGUUGCGCUCGUUAUAGGACUUAACCCAACAUCUCACGACACGAGCUGACGACAGCCAUGCAGCACCUGUGUACCUGUCUAAACCGAAGCUUAGAAGAUUGUAUUUCUACAACUGUCAAGUACAUGUCAAGCCCAGGUAAGGUUCCUCGCGUAGUGUCGAAUUAAACCACAUGUUCCACCGCUUGUGCGGGCCCCCGUCAAUUCUUUUGAGUUUUAGUCUUGCGACCGUACUCCCCAGGCGGAUCACUUAUCGCGUUAGCUACGACACUGAUUCUGCUAAGCAAAACCAACAUCAAGUGAUCAUCGUUUACGGCGUGGACUAC
rnacentral:misc_RNA from 1 species